rnacentral:lncRNA from 1 species
GUGAAAUCGGUUAUAAUAGAGAAAGGUGCGAUGCCUGAUAUUAGAGAACUGUGGAUUGGGCCUUGCCCGCUGUUGAUGGAGAUUCCUAUUGGAAUUGAACAUCUUAAAAACCUUAAGCAACUCAGAUUUGCUCGUAUGGUUAAACAAGUUUAUUACAUGACAAAAGGCGAGAACUGGGGAAGGUUACUGAGCAUAUACCAGAUGUCCUUGUCACUUUUGUGCAGGCCGGGCGACUGUUUUAUUAUCGAAAAGAGGAUCUCUCAUCUCUGUCUCCUGAAUAUGUCGAGCAAAUCUGCUGAAGAAGAGGACUCAAAUAGGGAGCAGUCAUGCGUAUUUGGAUUAUUUUCUAUUUACUUUUAAGAAAAAUUAUUUUUCUCAUUUUUAAUUUGACAGACAAUUUAAUUAUAUAUAAUUCAAAUAAAAAUUCACCAAGAAAAUUCCUUUUUCCCUGUAAUUUGAGUACGUUUAAUAAAUAAAUAAACAAAUGCAGUAGGUCAGGAAAUCUUUUUCUAGUCAAAUAUAUAGUUAGAAUCAUAUAAUGAUUAGGUAUUAAUGUUAGUAUAGUAAUUUCCGUUAUAUUUUUUGUUACCAUGAACAGAUGGAGUAUAUAUAUCUUGCUUCUAGCGAAUUCAAUGAUGAGUUCAUCGAACCUAUACUGGAUCAGAUUGUGGUGGUAAUGCUACAUUGAUAUGCUUUGAGUUUGAGUAAUUAUUAUCAGUGUUAUCGUGUAAUACAUGCAUAUGUGAGUGGAUGCUGCUGCGAGUGUGAGUGUAUUCUUCUAUAUAUUUAAGACUGAGAUUAUGAUUUUAGAAAUGUUGUAUUACUAUUGUAAGGAAUUGUCAUCAUAUAAUAUUCAGUGUUUAAUAAUAAAAACUGUGUGCCAAUGUGGUUACCAUUGGCAUGUGGUUAAUUUGUGUGGACUGAUGCAUUUGCCUUAAUUUUAAUCUGUAGCUUAUUGUUUUCGUCAUAGUAACUUAGCAAAAAAUUGUUUCACAUGCAUUUUCAUAUUCUCAAGUUUAAUUUCCUCUUCAUUUACAUUAUUUUGCUUAUUAUUUUGCGACAUCUAUCUGGAUUAGUCUGCAACUUUCAUUGAAUUUAUUUAUUUUAUUUAAGAAGUAUGUGAAACCGUUAGUCUAAAAAUUGAAUGCAUAUUUAAGAUUGCGGUUAAUGAAUUGUCAAACAAUCACUUAUUUUUUUAAAAAAAAUUUACUCAAUCAUAUUUGAGUUGACAAUUUAUUUUAAACAUAUAUCAUUUUUGGACUAGAUACACUCACAAUCAUCAAAUAAUUGAUUUUCAAAUAUAAUUUGAGAAUAAAAUCCUUGUGGAUUACAGCAGAGAAAGUCUAUAAUUGGGUUCUGGGACUGGGGAAUUAAACUUACUAAGCCAUUCUACUAUUCUUGGGGAAAAAAUAGUGGCAGUAGUUAGGGUUAAAAUGUAAAGAAUACAAAGAAACUAUAUAAAAAAAGCAGAGGUGACUCUAAAUUUACAAUCAAAUAAAAGAGAAAUUUUAUUUUAUAUUUUAAAAAGUAUUGGUGACCCUAAAGUUAGAAAAUUACAGAUGAUUGCGAUUGAAUUAGUAAUUUUGCUUUUGAAAUUGCUUUAAGUUCCUCAAUAAAUGGUCCUGCGGAGGCUCACUCCUUAUAAUCUAAAUAUUAGAUCAAAGUGUUUGGUGGCGUUUUGUUUUUUAAUUUAAUGAAUUAAAGUGACCUAACUUAAUUAAUUAAGUUAAUUAGAGCUGUUUGUUUUUAUAACUUAAUGAGACUUUUAGAUAAUUUUGACUUAAUAAAAUAAGGUAAUUUUUUUGGCUUUUUACUUAAUGGAGAAAUGUAAAUUAAGUCAAUUACUUGUUAAUGUCAAAAAUAUUAUUGCUUUAUAAUUUAUUUUUCAUGUAUAUCCCAAAACUCACCCAUAGACAUUUACCCCACAUAAUAAUCUCAUCAUUAGUUUUAUUUAUAAAUGUUAAAAUAUUGUGGUAUUUAAUAUAUUAUUUAUGUAACAUCCAAAUUUAAUAAGGAUACAAAUGUAAAAGUACAUAUUUUCAGUUUUUUUAGUUUAAAAAAAAUAACUUAAUACUUAUUUUUAGAGAUUCAAACGAAAAAACAAACAUAUUAUUCAGAUUCAGUCAUUCAGAUCUAUUCAAAAUUCAGACUAAUUCAGAUCUAUUCAGAUGUCAGACAAAAUAACAAACGUCACCUUAGUUUUUGCGUGAAUGAAAGAGAAAGAUUGCUAGAAAUUUCAUUUUCUUUAUUUUUUCAUGUCAUGGAUAAAUAAGAGCCGAAACAAUGUUGAGUCUCUUCACAAUAAAAGCAAUUUUCAUACGUCUUUCCCUUCAGUUUUAUGAUAUUCAAUGCACGUAGUCCUUAGUAUAGUCCCUACCCCUGCCCCUUUAUUAAUUAUUGGUUAAAAAAAAAAAAGAAUCUUGAAGUAAAGCUAUUGAAUUAAACCAUAACAAUAAGUUCACAUUUUUUAGGUAUUAAAAAUAUUUUGUGAAUUAUGUUUAUUUAAAAAUAAAAAUUAUCAAACUUCAAAACUGUGACUACAAUACUCCAUGAGUGCCAUACUCCACAACUUGGCACUGCUAGAUGGUUCUAGAUUAUUGACUUUUAAUUACUUUUUAAUUAUCUAAUGAUGCUUAGUGUUGCAAACCGCCCAAGUUGCUAGCUCAAUUGCCCACCAUUUUGGGCUAGGGAGCCAAGACAAGGCCAAGAGUGUUAGCUUGACCCAAUUUCGGAAACUUCUAGGCAACUCUAGCACAUUUGAGCUUGUAAAUACUCUAGAAUUCUCCAUAGAUUUCCAGCACAUGUAAAUUGUAGAAUUCUCUAGAAUUGUAGAGCAUGGCAAGCCUCCCAUAUAAAUAUGGAAUGGCAUUAGGCAUUUGAACAACAAGCUAAAAACAAGUAACUCAAACACUUGUAAGCUCUCUUGUAAGCAUUCUUUCGAGUAAUACAAUUUCUCUUGUUUGGCUCCAUUACUCUCUUCUCUCUAGUCGAGAAGUUCAAGGCUUACUUAGCAACAUUCGGCAAAGUUGUCUAAGUGCCGCACGGGUCUACUGCGCAAAACACUCAUCCCGUGAUAAGUAGUAUCAGAGCUAAGGUUUGCACGCACGCAAGUUAGCUCAUGAGCAAUGGCCAACCCUUCGAAUCCAAUGCAAAAGGGUGUUGUUGGUGUGGAUGUUCCACCAGAACCAAGCCGCGGCCGUGAGGGAGAGCGCGCCCAAGGUAAGACUCGCAGCAAGUCCAAGGCCCCAUCCGUGGAUGCGUUGGAGCCUCGUGUAGGCACUCUCGAAAUCGCAUUGUCUGCCGCUCAAGAUAGCCUCGAGGGAUUAGAGGAAAGAGUGGACGGUCUCGAGGGAGAAUACGCCGAGUUCACGGUGGCAACCAAAGCCCUCAUCCAAGAGCAAGCGAACACUCUUCGAAGUGAGUUUCGUUAUUUUUAUGAUGAGUUGCUCAAACUUCCUAACUUUGUUCAGGAUGAACUACACGUUGUCCGUGCGGAAGUGGAUGAAGUUUGCUCGGAUUGGGCAUGGCACAAGCGCACAUUGUCUGCUAGUCCAGCUUCCGUAAACACGAGUGAUGUGCGGCGCAUUGACGUGCCAAAGCCCGACACCUACGAUGGCACACGCAACGCCACAAUCGUGGACAAUUUCCUCUUUGGGCUUGAUCAAUACUUCGAUGCCAUGGGUGUUCGAGACGAGGCAUCGAAAGUGGGCACAGAACCCACUUAUCUACGAGGCGCUGCACAACUAUGGUGGCGUUGCAAGCAUGGCGAGAUGGGCAAGGGCAUUUGCACCAUCGACACUUGGGCCGACUUCAAGCAAGAACUCCGAAAGCCGUUCGCCCCAAACAAUGCGGAGAAGGAAGCGCGAGCGCACUUACGUCGUCUCAAGCAAUCGGGUAGCAUUCGAGACUACAUCAAUGAGUUCACCACUCUUAUGCUCGAGAAGGAUUCGCUCUUCUACUUCCAAGAUGGCCUCAAGGAUUGGGCCAAGACCGAGCUUGAUAGGCGUGGCAUUCAAACACUUGACGACACCAUUGCCGUUGUGAAAUCACUCAUCGAGUACUCUACUCAAUCCAAGGACAAAAAGGCCAACCAAGGCAAAGGUGGGGGAGAGAGUCGCAAGGACAAGGGCAGUAACAACCACAAAGAUUGGGGGCAGAAAAAGACGCCUAGCAACAAGAGCGGACAAGGAAAAUCGGAGGGCAAGAAGGAGGCACCGAAGCCACGCAGCCCAUGCUUCAUUUGCAACGGUCCUCAUUGGGUACGCGACUGUCCGGAAAAGAAGUCGUUCAACGCUCUUGCUGCCCAACUCAAGAACAACCAUAACAUGUCCGCGGAAGAACCCCAACUUAGCAUGGGUUCUCUCCAAUGCCUCGGCUAGGGAUGGCAAUGGGGAGGGGAGGGGAGGGGACCAAUCUCCCCAUACCCAUCCCCGAUAUUUUGUUAUGUCCCCGUCCCCGUCAGAAUUGCUUAAGUGAAUCCCCAUCCCCUCCCCGAAUAAUAACAGGGGAUCCCCGAGGGUCCCCGGUCCCCGAAUAAUUAAUAGUCUAAUACAUUUUUUUUAUUUUUGAUUUUAAAUUAAUCAUAUUAAAAUAAAAAAUUCAGAUAAAAAUAAAGUUCAAAAUAUAUCUUGCAUUAAUAUUGAUCCAUUUCAAAGUCACAUUCAAAAUAUAAAUUAUUAAAAUAUAUAUCUUUGUCAAUGACUCAAUCUUCAUAAUCCUACAAUAAAAAGAAAAAAAAUUAUUUUUAUAUCGGCAAUAAAAUAAAUGUAGAUACUUAAUUAAUAUUUUUAAUAAAACUAUUUACCUCCUGCUCCUCCUGUUCUUCCUCGAGAAAUGUGGCAAAUUGAGAGCUAGCCUCAGAUUUUAAACCUAAAACAAUGAAAAUGAUAUAAGUAACGUAACUUAUAAGCGCAAAUAUUAAUAACUGUAUAAUAUAAUUACAAUGUAAAAUAAACUCAUAUUGCUAUUGUAAGCUCGUAACCAACUUUGACAGCACAUUAAGGCCUCCAAUGUACUUGGAUGAAGUUUGUUACGGUGUGCGCUCACAAUUCUACCACCGGUGCUAAAAGCUGAUUCAGAAGCAACUGUUGUAAUUGGAAUUUCUAAAAUAUCUCUAGCAAUUCGAGCUAAUGUAGAAUACGAAUUAGGAUUAGAACUGUUGUAAAUUAUAAUUAGGCAGCUCUCUCCUGUAUCAUUGUGGUUUGGAUUAAAAAUUUAAGACUUUAAUUAGUUAAUUAAGUUUAAAAGUUUAAUAAUAUAACUAUUUUAAUAUUUAUUAUUUUUAACAAUAUUUAUAAUUUUGUUAUUUAUUUAUUAGUAAUUUUAAAAAUAAAAAUAAAAUUAAAAAUUAAAAUGGGGAAAUGGGUAGGGGAUGGGGAUUCCACCUCAUCCCCGUCCCCUCCCCGAAUAAAAAAUUGGGUAAAAAAUUUUCCCCGUCCCCUCCCCGAAUAAAAAAUUGGGUAUAAAAUUAUCCUCGUACCCUCCCCGAAUGGGGAAAAUCCCCGAGGGUACCCGUCCCCGUGGGGAUUUUUGCCAUCCCUAGCCUCGGCGCACUCAAUCGUCAACAGCCCGCACUCGUCAAGAAAUGGCUCAUGUAUGUGAGCGCGAAGAUAAACAGCCAGUCCGUUCACGCGCUACUAGACACGGGAGCAACACACAACUUCGUGUCUGAAGAUGAGGCCAAGCGCUUAGGCCUCAAAGCCACCAAGGAAGGAGGCACGAUGAAGGUAGUGAACUCACUCGCCAAGCCAACUGCGGGAAUUGUACAAGGCGUGCACAUAACACUCGGUACGUAGAGCAGAAAGCUUGACUUCUCCAUUGUGCUCAUGGAUGACUUCAAGAUAGUCCUUGGCAUGGAGUUCUUCGACUAAGUCCAUGCCUUCCCGCUGCCUGCUACAAACUCCCUAAGCAUCCUCGAUGGGAGUAAGGCAUGCAUGGUUCCUACGGAACAAGGCAAGUCCGAGGAAAAGACACUCUCCGCCAUGCAAUUCAAAAGUGCUUUCAAGAAGGACCCAAGCUUCUUAGUCUCCAUCCGGGAACUAAAUGAGGAAGGAGAUAGCGAAAAAUUGCCAAGACAAGUCCCUCCGCGAAUACAAGCCGUCCUCAACGAGUUCAAGGACGUAAUGCCUCCAGAACUUCUGAAGAAGCUCUCACCUCGACGAGAGGUAAAUCAUGCAAUUGAGUUGGAAUAAGGCGCAAAGCCACCAGCCUUGUCGCCCUACCGCAUGGCGCCACUCGAACUUGAGGAGUUGCGGAGACAAAUCAAACACUUGCUGGACGCAGGAUACAUUCGUCCUUCGAAGACCUCAUUCGGUGCCCGGUCCUCUUCCAAAAGAAAAAGGAUGGAUCGCUACGGAUGUGCAUCGACUAUAGAGCACUCAACAAGAUCACCAUCAAGAACAAGUAUCUGAUUCCCUUGAUUGCGGACUUGUUCGACCAGCUUAGCAAAGCGCGGUACUUCACCAAACUUGACUUGCGCUCUGGGUACUAUCAAGUGCGCAUCACCAAGGGAGACGAACCGAAGACAGCAUGCACAACAAGGUACAGGUCUUUCGAAUUCCUUGUGAUGCCUUUUGGCCUUACUAAUGCACCCGCCACAUUUUGCACACUCAUGAACAAGGUGCUCCAACAAUUCCUCGACCGCUUUGUGGUCGUGUACUAGGAUGCAUAGUGGUGUAUAGUACCACGCUCGAGGAGCAUGCCCAACAUUUGCGACAAGUCCUCCAAGUACUCCGAGACAACGAGCUCUUCAUCAAAAUGGAGAAGUGCUCGUUUGCCCAACAAGUUCCUUGGCCACAAGAUUGCGGGUGGGAAGCUUAUGAUAGAGAAUGCCAAGGUAAAGGCCAUCAUCGAUUGGGAGCCUCCCACAAAAGUGCCCUAGCUUCGCUCAUUCCUUGGGUUGGUGAAUUACUACCGUCGCUUUAUCAAGGGCUACUCGGCCAAGGCGGCACCCUCGACGGAUAUGCUCAAGAAAAACAUAACGUGGCAUUGGUCUGAAGAGUGCCAACAUGCAUUCGAGGAGUUGAAAAGAGCAAUUUCGGAAGAACCCGUUCUCGCUCUUCCGGACCACACUAAGCCCUUCGAAGUUCAAACGGAUGCCUCAGAUUUUGCCAUUGGUGGAGUCCUUAUGCAAGAAGGCCACCUAAUAGCGUUCGAAAGUCGAAAGCUAAAUAAUGCGGAACGCCGCUACACGGUGCAAGAAAAUGAGAUGACAGCCAUCAUCCAUUGUAAGAGUGUGGCGACAUUACUUGCUUGGUUUACACUUCACAAUCCUGACGGAUAACGUGGCGACAAGCUACUUCCAAACACAAAAGAAAUUGAGUCCGAAGCAAGCAAGGUGGCAAGAUUUCUUAGCAGAAUUCGACUAUCAACUCGAGUACAAACUGGGUAAAGCCAAUGUCGUUGCGGACGCUCUAAGCUGCAAGGCCGAAUUGGCGACACUUAACAUGAGCCAAGCGAAAUCCGACCUUGUCUUACGCAUCAAGGAAGGCCUCCAACAAGAUCCGCUAGCAAAGGACUUGUUGGAGAAAGUGCUCGAAGGCAAAACAAUGCGAUUUUGGCAAGAGGAAGGCAUCCUCCUCACCAAGGGAGAUCGACUGUUUGUGCCAAGAUGGGGAACCUUGAAGUCAUCAAGGAGUGCCACGACUCCAAGUGGGCUAGUCAUCCAAGAAUCGAGCGCAUCAUCGUACUAGUCCAAGCCUCGUAUUUUUUGCCGCACAUGAGGGACGACAUCGAGACAUAUGUGCGCACUUGUCUUGUGUGCCAACAAGACAAGGUAGAUCAUCAACUUCCAACGGGAUUAUUGGAGCCGCUACCACUCGCAACAAGGCCAUGGGAAAAUGUCUCCAUGGAUUUCAUCACAUCGCUGCCCAAGUCCGAAGGGUGCGAAAGCAUUAUGGUCGUUGUCGAGUGUUACAGCAAGUACACCACUUUCAUUGCCGUACUAGCCGAUUGCAAAGCGGACGAGGCAGCCCGCCUAUUCGUCAAGCACAUUGUGAAACUUUGGGGAGUUCCGAAGACCAUUGUGAGCGACCGAGACCCUUAGUUCAUUGGGCGUUUUUGGAGGGAGCUCUUCAAGAUAUUAGGGACCGAUCUCAAGUUCUCGACAAGCUUCCACCCACAAACAGAUGGGCAGACCGAGCGCAUCAAUGGCCUUCUCGAGAUGUAUCUAAGGCAUUAUGUUAACGCUCAUCAGUGGGAUUGGGUGAAGCUACUCGACAUCGCCCAAUUUUCUUAUAAUUUGCAGCAAAGUGAGGCUACGGGCAAGAGUCCGUUCGAGAUCAUCAUGGGAUUCCAGCCCAUGACUCCCAACACCAUAGCCUCAACUUACGGAGGAAAAAGCCCCGCGGCACACAAGCUUGCCUGCGAAUGGCACGAGGAAGCAGACAUCACGCGAGCCUAUCUCGACAAAGCCUCGAGGAAGAUGAAAAAGUGGGUGAAUACAAGGAGACAGUAUAUUGAGUACAAGGAAGGUGAUCAAGUCAUGAUCAAGCUCCUACCCCAACAAUUCAAGACUUUGCGGAAAGUUCACAAGGGGUUAGUGAGGCGCUACGAGGGACCCUUCUGAGUUGUACGACGUGUGGGCAACGUCUCGUAUCAACUCCAACUUCCGCUAAGACUCAAGAUCCAUCUGGUCUUCCACGUGAGCCUUCUCAAGCCAUACCAUGGAGAUGUGGACGACCCAAGUCGUGGAGAAUCAAGGCGCGCGCCAACCGCCGUUGUCACCGCAUUCGACAAAGAUGUGGACUACAUCCUUGCGGAUCGCGUGGUUUCGAGGAGAGGCGUGCCAGCACAUAGCGAGUACUUGGUGAAGUAGAAAAAUCUCCCCGAAAGCGAAGCCACUUGGGAAUGUGAAGAAGAUUUGUGGCAAUUCGCUGAGCACAUCCAACACUUCAAGCAUGAGAGCGCGACGAGGACGCCGCAAGUUUAGGUUGGGGAGGAUGUUGCGGACCGCCCAAGUUGCUAGCCCAAUUGCCCAUCAUUUUGGGCUAGGAAGCCAAGACAAGGCCAAGAGUGCUAGUUUGGCCCAAUUCCGGAAACUUCUAGGCAACUCUAGCAUAUUUGAGCUUGUAAAUACUCUAGAAUUCUCCAUAGAUUUCCAGCAUAUGUAAAUGGUAGAAUUCUCUAGAAUUGUAGAGCAUGGCAAGCCUCCCCUAUAAAUAUGGGAUGACAUUAGGCAUUUGAACAACAAGCUAAAAACAAGCAAUUCAAACACUUGUAAGCUCUCUUGUAAGCAUUCUUUCGAGUAAUACAAUUUCUCUUGUUCGGCUCCAUUGCUCUCUUCUCUCUAGUUCGAGAAGUUCAAGGCUUACUUAGCAAUAUUCGGCAAAGUUGUCUAAUUGCCGCACGGGUCUGCUGCGCAAAACACUCAUCCCGUGACAUUAGUCUAUAGAGUACGAUAUCCUUAGAAAUAAAAAAGAGACACUUUAAAGAAUUAAAAGCUAAAUGAGUGAUAAAUAUCUUGUUGUAAUUAGUUUACUUGAGACCAAAAAUAGAUUUCUAAAAUGAGAUGGAGUGGGGAAGAAGUUGGGAAAAAUGACCAUGAGCUUGAGCGAUAAACUUGUAAAUUAUGCUAUGGUGUUUUGUUAAAAAUAACAGUGGUAGCUAGUUUUAUAAAUUCUGCAUGGUAAUUUUGUGAACAACAUAGAAAAAACUAAAAAACUAAAUUAUUAUUAUAAUUAUUUUGUUGGCGUAUCUUGCUUAUUGGAAGUGAACAUAAAUUGUAUAUUUGGAUGGACUAGAAACUGUGAUUCAGAAAUUCAGGGAGGCACGGUCAAAUUUGGACACCCUAAGGAAGCUGGGAGCAUCCAUUCUCCAUGGAGUUGAUGCAACUGAAAUGAAGGAACAUCCUCAAUUUAGCAAGCGUCAUACUGCUUAUUUUAAAUUGUUCUGUUUUUUUUUUUUUUCAGAAAUUGCUGUGAGUCUUGGGAGGUUCACUCAUUGUAAUUGAUAUGUUAAACUGAUUAAGGAAGCGUGAAGCAUAAAGUAGACCAAAGUGUUGAAUAGUUCUUUAAAAGAGAAAUAUUGCUAGAAAUCUUAAUUUUAUUUAUUUAUUUAUUAUGUCAUGGUUUUAUUUAUUCAUAAAAUUGAAAGCCACAAUGUUGAGUCUCUUCACAGUAAAAGCCAUUUUCACAUUUAGACUUCUUCUCCUUUAGCUUUAUGAGAUUCAAUGCCCCCCACAAUGUUGCGUCUCUUCACAGUAAAAGAAACUUGUGGUCCUAAAUGAUCGUUAGAAUUUAAGAAUAUAUAUAUAUUUCAUGUUACUGAGAUUUUUUUUUUUAUUUCCAUUCUAAAUUAACCAUUAAAAAGAAAUUGUAACCGUUGCUCCAUUGUAAAAAUUACGUUCAACAUUUCAAGAAAACAAUCUUAGUUGGAAGAAAUUCCGGAAAAAUAUAGAUCGGUUUUUGAAUUCGAAAUUUAAACUCAAUUAAGGAAACUAGUAAAUAAAAGGAAACACAAAACCAUAUUGGUCGGGGCCGUGGACCUGACAACAUGUCCCUCCGAUAAUUUCAAUCUUUUUUUCAUUCUUCCUAAAACACCUUUCCAAACUUCUCAAACUACAGAAGACAGACUCACAGACAGUAAUUACAUCAAGGCUAAUUAUGUCAUUUUACAUUCCUGGGUCAAGUCUGGUGAAGUAUUGUCCUCAUCAUGAUCAUUUGCCAUGCAAGCGUAUAACAAACUCUUCGGCAAUCUCACUACUACUAUGGCAACAGUGGCUGAAGCUGCUGAAAGAGAAGAGGAAAAAUAAAUGGGUUUGACGGAAAAAAAAAAAAAAAAAAAAAAGAAGAAGAGAAAUGGAUAAUGCUUUAUUCAUCAAAACAUAAAAUACUAUUAGCGGGCGAAGGAGAUUUCUCUUUUUCUCUUGCUUUAUCUCAGAAAUUUGGCUCUGCUUCUCACAUCUGCGCUUCUUCUCUUGUGAAAGAAAGUUAAAAGCUGUUUGUUUCAAGAGAAAAUUUACAGAGGAAAAUCAGAGUUCUUAUUUCUUGAUUAUUUGAUUACACAUAACAACUGAUCUAAUGCAGCUUAUAUACUCGAAGCUGUUUACAUACACAUGCUAAAGAAACUAGUAACAAACAUUAACAACUUAUGCUGACUUGUCAAUACCCGUAACUACUUCUGCUGAUCUGGCACUGAUGAGCUGGCACUAUUGACUUGCUUCACUAACUGAGACUGAGAACUACUUUGCCUUUCUAUUCUUCAUAAACUCAGCACAAUGAGUUUCCUUAACAGCCCCCCUCAAACUCAAGGGGCAUAGCUGCACAUUGAGUUUGUUCCGUAGAUAGUUGAAGUGAACAAAAGAAAGAGGUUUGGUCAUGAUAUCAGCUAUCUGUUCUUUACUAGGAAUGUACUGAAUUAUCAACUCCCCUGCAAUCACUUUAUUUCUGAUGAAGUGAAUGUCAAGCUCGAUAUGUUUUGUUCGUGAAUGAAAAACAGGAUUGCGAGCUAAUUCAGUGGCACUAAUGUUGUCACACCAAAUAGUAGGAAUUUCUGUGCAGCACAAAUUAAUCUCAAAAAAUAAGGAUUGUAACCAGCUUAUCUCUGCACUAGCUGAAGCUAAGGCUGUAUAUUCACUUUCAGCACUUGAUCGAGCAAUGACUGACUGCUUUUUAGAUGACAAAGAGAUCAGAUUGUUGCCUAAGUAAAUACAGUAAGAACCAACAGAUUUUCUGUCAUCAAGAUCACAAGCCCAAUCUGCAUCAGUGAACCCUGUAAUCUUCAUUUCUCCAUGCUGAACAAACUUGAGUCCAAAAUCCUGAGUAGAUUUCAAAUAUCUAAGAACUCUUUUACAAGCUAGAAGAUGUUGCAUUGUAGGAGCAGACACAUAUUGACUCAGUUUGUUUACAGCAAAAGCAAUCUCUGGUCUUGUUAGAAUUAAGUACUGCAUCCCACCUACAAUGCUUCUGUAACUUGUAGGAUCAGUAAUAUAUUGACCAAGAUCUCCUUGAGUUUCCUUUUGUAGCUUAAUACCAGUGCUCAUGGGUGUGUCAGUGCCUUUGCACUCAAGAAGCUGCACUUUGGAUAAUAGAUCUCGUAUGUAUUUCCUUUGGGACAAAAAGAUACAGCCUGCAUCAUACAACACUUCUAUGCCCAGAAAAUAAGACAACUUACCCAGAUCCUUUAAUGCAAAAACUUUACUGAACUCAGCUAUAAAAGCUUCCAAUUCUGCACUAUUUGGCCCUGUAAUUAGAAUGUCAUCGACAUAAAUCAACACCAUUAUCAUUGCUGAGCUUGUUUUCUUUAGGAACAGAGAAGGAUCAGCUCUUGAGUUUACAAAAUUCCACUGCAACAAACAACUCUUCAGCUUCUCAUACCAAGCUCUUGGAGCUUGUUUAAGACCAUAGAGUGACUUGUUAAGCUUACACACAAAGCCUUUCUUCUUAUCAUCAACAAAACCUGCUGGUUGAUCCAUGAAUACCUCUUCUGUCAACUCUCCAUUAAGAAAAGCAUUAUUUACACCUACUUGUCUUAUAUGCCAUUUGUUCAUAACAGCUAAACUGAUUACCACUCUGACAGUAGCUAAUUUCACCACUGGGCUAAAUGUUUCAAAGUAAUUGACCCCUUCAAUUUGCUGAAAUCCCUUAGCUACUAAUCUAGCUUUGUACUUAGCUAAGCUUCCAUCUGAGUUAUACUUAACUCUGUACACCCACUUGUUACCAACAACCUUCUGACCAUCCAACCUUGGAACCAGAGACCAUGUAUUGUUCUUAAGUAAAGCAUUGUAUUCUUCUGUCAUGGCUGCAAGCCAUGUAGAAUCCUGCAUAGCUUCUUCUACAGAAUCUGGUUCUUUAUGAACAAGUGCUGCAUUAUAGACUUUAGGUUUGAAAACUCCAGCCUUGCUUCUAGUGGUCAUGGAAUGUGUGUUUGCUGGUGUAGUGAUCUGUUGGGUAUUUUCUGGAGCAGAGGUGUGUUGAAUAAUAUUUGGUAAAAUUUGUGAUGAAGAGAGUGUGUUGGUAGUGAAUGGUUGAGUAGAUAUGGAAUUAUGAGGUUAUGUAUGUGGUUCAAAUAUUUGUUGCAAAGGCUGAGAAUUUGUGUUAUGUGCAUGAUUAACUGAAUGAUGAGAACUGUUGCUGGUAGAUCUUGCAGAAACAUGAUUAUAAGAAUUACUGUCAUCUGAAUUGGAAGAUAUUGACAAAGUGGAUAGAUGAUACACUUGUUGAGGAGUAAAUGACAGAUGUUGACAUGAAUUAUUGGAAGUGAAAACAGAAUCUGAGGAAUAAGGAAAUGAAUGCUCAUCAAAUAUGACAUGCCUAGCUAUAUAGACUUGACCAGUUGGAUGCAGACAUUUGUACCCUUUAUGAGAAGGGUUGUACCCAAUAAAGAUACACUUGUUGGAAUGAUAUGCAAACUUAUGCUUGUUAUAAUCUCUCAGAUAGGGAUAGCAUGCACAACCAAAGCACUUGAGCAUUUUGUAAUCUGGUUUGUGACUGAAGAGCUUUUCAUAUGGAGUAAGAAAUUUUAAAGUUGCAGAAGGCAACCUAUUAAUAUGAUAGACUGAUGUUUGAAAGGCUUCCCACAAAAAACUUAAGGGUAAUUUAGCUUGAGCUAGAAGUGUAAGACCUAACUCAACAAUGUGCCUGUGCUUUCUCUCAACUACCCCAUUUUGAUGAUAUGUGUAGGGAUAAGAGUGUCUGAAAAUAAUUCCAUUUUGGUUCAAAAAAUCUGUGAAAGCUCGAUAUUCUCCCCCCCCCCCCCCCCCAGUCUGAUUGCAACUUUUUAAUGGGACAUUGGAAUUGUUUUUCAACUUACACUUUGAAGAGUUUGAAAAUUUGUAAGGCUUUUGAUUUCAGUUUCAGUGGAUAGAUCCAGGUAUAUCGACUGAAAUCAUCAACAAAGCUGAUGUAAUAAACAUAACCAGCUCUGGAAGGAGAAGGGGAAGGACCCCACAAAUCAGUGUGAAUGAGUUCAAGUAUUUGGGAAGUUUUGGUUUCAGUUGCAGGGAAGUGCAGUCUAUGAACUUUACCCAUUUGACAUGCCUCACAUAUUUGUUGUGCAGCUUGCUUAAUAAUGGAAGUAGAAAUAUUGAUAGACUGAUCAUUCUUAAGUAAAUGCACUAGUACAUCAUAAUGAGGAUGACCAAAUCGUCUAUGAAACAAGAUGACCUUAUUAACUGAUUCAUUACAAGGUAAGAAAGAAUUGACAGCAGUUUGAUAACAAGCUACAGACUUUGAAUGUUUAUUCUGGACAUCAGUUAAAACGGGAAAUUGUAGAUGACAUGUAGAAAGCAUAGACAGAGGCUUGUUUGAAGAAAUUUGACUCAAGAAAGAAAGAGGAGAUGACUGAGAUGACUGUAACAGCAACUUGUAUAAUCCUUUUUCAGCAAGGCCUUGCAGAAGUACUUGUCCCUUCAGUGAAUCCUUUACAUAACAUACAUUACCAACAAAUUCAAUGGAAAUGUUAUUAUCAGUGGUUAGCUUGGAUAUACUUAUUAAGUUCUUAGUAAUAGAAGGAACUAACAAGAUAUCCUUAAGUGCUAUAGGUGUGUGUUUGUGGGCAGCAUUAAGACUUUUAUGGCUAAAGUAAGCAUCACCAAUAUGAGUAAUAAUCAAACCUUGUCCAUUGCCAAUAGUCAGCUGAUCUAGGCCUCUGAACUCUUCUCGCACAUGCAUAUUACCCAUGUUAUUUGUAAUGUGAUGUGUGGCCCCACUAUCCAGAUACCACCCUUCAUCUGAUGAACCUUCAAGGUUAGCAACAUAAGCUUCAGGAAAAGUAAAAGCAUCAGACUGAUAAGAAUAAACAGGUCAAUAAUUCACUAGUUGAUAGCUCGAGUUAACAUCUGCAGCUUCAUAAGAGUCUUCAACUGUUGACUGCUGAUAAGGAAAUGACUCAAAAUUAGCCAUAUAAGCAGCCUUUGAUCCCAUCAUUUUACCUCUGCCAAAAUGCUUAGGAAUGUAAUUAUCACCAUAUCGAUACCAGCAAGCAUCAGCAGUAUGACCUUGCUUAUGACAUAUUUGGCAUAUAGGUGUCAGUUCAUUAUGUUCACCAUUAGAAAUAUUUUGAUUAUGUGCAGGAGAAAACAUAUUUCUGAUGUGUGGUGGUCUGUGAAAAUGUUGAAACUGAUUUUUGCCAAAACUUGCAGCACCAUUUCCUCUACCAAAACCACCAAUAGCACUAUUACCAGCUGGAAAACCUCUAGGAUAAGAAGUAGAGACCAUGCCACGACCAAAAUACUGACCUCUUCCUCUAUAUUGACCAUUAGAACCAUUAACAAAAGUAUUCCUCCUUGGAAAACCUCUCAUAUGCGAGGAAUUUGCAUAAUUUGCAUUCAUCAUACUAUAGUUGGCAUUAAACAUAGCCUGUGGAUUCUGGUUCUGUUCUAAACGAGCUUCAUGUGUUAACAACAGUGCAUAUGCAUCAUCAAAGUUCAUUUUAUUGGCUGUGAUUAUGGAAGCCAGAUCCAAAUAACCAGGUCCUAAUCCAUUAAGAGUUCUUAUCAACAGAUCUUUUUCAGUUAUAUUAUCACCAGCACAAGCAAGCUUAUUCACAAGAGUUUUCAUUUUUUAGCAAUAUUCUUCAACUGGCAUUGAUUCUUUUCUCAAAGUAUCCAAUUCAUAUCUAAGUUGCAUUAUUUUUGCUUCAGAUUGAACUCCGAAUUGUUUUUCAAUAGAUCUCCAAACAUCAAAGGAGGUAUCAUAAUUGAGAACUGAGCUUAGAAUACCUUCACUUAUUGUUGAAAGAAGCCAGCUAAGCAGAGUCUGAUCCUGAGCUCUCCAAUUAACAUAAGCUGGAUUCCCAACCUUCUCCACAGAUCCAUCAGCUCUUGAUUGAGAUAGAUAUUGUUCUGGAGUAUUCUGACCUUCUGAGAUUAAUCCUUCAAGUCGAUUUCCUCUGAUUGACGUCAGUACUUGUUUGCGCCAAAGAAGAAAAUUUGAUCGAUUGAGUUUUACAGUUGCAGCAAAAGUAAAUGAAGUUUGCGUAGAUUGAAAUUGAUUGAUAGUUGAAUGAAUUUGAUUAGUUGUAUUGGAACUAGCCAUAGUUGGCUCUGAUACCAUGGAAGAAAGUUAAAAGCUAUUUGUUUCAAGAGAAAAUUUACAGAGGAAAAUCAGAGUUCUUAUUUCUUGAUUAUUUGAUUACACAUAACAACUGAUCUAAUGCAGCUUAUAUACUCGAAGCUGUUUACAUACACAUGCUAAAGAAACUAGUAACAAACAUUAACAACUUAUGCUGACUUGUCAAUACCCGUAACUACUUCUGCUCAUCUGGCACUGAUGAGCUGGCACUGAUGAGCUGGCACUAUUGACUUGCUCACUAACUGAGACUGAGAACUUCUUUGCCUUUCUAUUCUUCAUAAACUCAGCACAAUAAGUUUCCUUAACAUCUUGAUUCUUAUGGUACGGUAAUAUAAUCAAUUUUACGAAAAAAGAAAAAUAGAAAAUUGUAAAAUUACCAGGAAAAUUAUUAAAAAGUAUUAUUAUCUAUUGUGACAUCUGGUUUAUUUGGAAGUUAAUAUAAACCAUCUUUGGAUGGAUUAGAAACUGUCACUCAGAAAUUCAAGAAGGCAGAGUCAAACUUGGACACUCUAAAUUAAGAAGCUGGGAGCAUCCCUUAUCCAUGGAGUUGAUGCAACUGAAAUGAGGCGUCAUCCUGAAUUGAGAGAGCGGAUCGUUGAUAGAAUUAUCUUCAAAUUCCCCCAUGCUGGCUUUUCUGGAAAGGAAGACAACAAUCAACUUAUUCAAUGAGCUGCUUUAAAAUACAGUUCCUUGUAGAAAUUUUGUGUUUCUUCUGCAUUGCUUACUAAUCUGAAACUUUCAUUUCUUUUGCAAUGAUCCAGCUAUUCACUGUCAUCGUUUGAUGUUAAUACGGGGAUCAGCAACUCAUGCUUUUGAAGAUUUCAUGGAUAGGAUUGAAACUUAAUUGAAAAUCAUAGUUUCCAAAGGGGAAUUGCUAAAUUGCUGAUGAAGAAAUUAUAGUCUGGUUUAGAUUUAGAUACAAGUUGAAAGCGAAAACCCAGCUUUGAUUUUAAGGGAUCUGGGAUUUGGAUGACUCUUGCAUAUAUAGGAUAUUUUUGUAAUGUUUGCUUUCAAUGGUUGAUUACUUGCUAGUGAGGAAUUUCAGAGUGACGAAAAAUGCAGAGUCCUGUGGAAACGUGGGUCGAUACACUACAGUGACAUGAAAAUGGUUAAAAAAAAAAGAGUGAACUUGCUUAAUAAAGUGAUCCGUUUUGCUAAAAAAUUCAAAACAUUGUAGUCUAGAGUUCCCUGUGAUAUUUUAAAAAUCACUAAUUCUGAAAAUGCUGGCUCGUAUACCUGUUCGAUGAUCUUUCUUCUGGUAGUCGCAGAAUGCAUAUGAGUCUUGUGGAAGGUUUCUUGAAAUGCAAGUGGCAUGCUGAGUCGUAGUUGUGAAGUUCAUGUAACCCACAAAACAACUGCUCCAUUUCGCGACUGGAAUAUCGAGGAACUUGCUCCCAAACACUGUUUGUCAUCAAUGUACCCUGUCAACCUUAAAAAAAAAAGACUACCCUGGUUACAACAACAAGUGAGGAGCUGGUUUGAAAUGUGAUGAGCCCUUCCCCUUGGGAGAGUGCAGUACCUUCAUAUUUGGAUUCUAUCGUGCUCGCAAGAGAGUAAUGAGUUAUGGUGGAUUCGCUAACAAAAGACAUCAGCCGGUUCAAGAGAUUCCAAUCCAAGUGCAGAAGGAUGGAACUCCAUUUGACUCGAGAUAUGCUAAUGCAAAGUCAUCCACUGGUAUGAAUGAAUUUCCAGCCUGUUCGAAGUUUGAUGGCAGCGGCAUGAGUUACUCUGUUCGUGAAUAUCCUAGGUUUGACAGAUUCAUACAUCCUCAAACAAGUUUCACUAGAAAUAUGACUGACCAUCCAGCAUAUAAGAGACUAGCUUUGAUGAGUAAUAUACAAAGCGAAAAUGCUAGGUCCCAUAAUGGCCGCUUCAAUAGUUCCAUAAUUCUGUGUGAAAGGUAUAUCGCAGAAGUACCAGGAUUCCAAAGAGAAAAUGCGAGGAUUUUGUAUCCUAUGGAUGGAAGUAAUUUAAAAGAAAGGUGCAUCAAUUUGUUUGUGUAGCAUACUGUAUGGCUAGAGAGUUUCAUGCUCUUGGUCUUCGCAGUUUUCUUAUUUGUAUGGUUUCGUUUUCUUUAUUUUUUGCCGACAAAUAAACAAAUCAACUUGCAAUAAAAUAAUAUUAAAAUACACUAAAAAAGCUCAAAUGCCGACAAAUUCCAGGUUGUUCAGUUCAAAAUUAAUUCUAUAGUAAGUAUGAAGAAUAAAAUAUAAACAAUCAACCUGCAAGUUGAAAAUUCUGCAUUCUUAAACCAAUGUCCAAACAGGGGUAAACAUGUCUGCAAACAUAAACAAUGAUCAAACACUGUUUGCAAAAGCAUCAAUCUGCUUUGUAAAUUAGACCUGCUGGUGUGAUAUGGCGGAGGCUGCGGUGAACUUUGCAAUAGAGACCUUGGGUCCUUUGCUUGUCGAAGAAAUCAGAUUGUGGGGAGGUGUUAGAAAAGAAGUUCAAAGUAUCAAAAGCGAACUGGAGAGUCUCAGAUCUUUCCUCAAAGAUGCGGAUGCAAGGGCAGCAGUCGAAGAAUUAGAAGGAGGCGGUGAGGAAAGUGUCAGAACUUGGGUGAAACAACUGAGGGAUGAAGCUUAUCGCAUUGAAGAUGUGAUCGACGAGUACACACUCAUGGUGGCAAAACUCCCUCAUGGGAGUGGCCUCGUUGGUGUUCUCCAUAGAAUCAGUCGUUUCAUAAAGAAGCUGAAGCUGCGGCGUGGAGUUGCUACUGAGAUUCAAGAUAUCAAAUCAGCGCUUGCUGAUAUAAAGCGAAGGGGAGAAAGCUAUCGAUUCAGAUCUAUUGAUGAACCAUCGAGCAGUGGAACCAGAAAUGUUAUCCCACAUGACUCUCGAGUUCGUUCCUUUUUCGUUGAAGAUGAUGAAGUUGUGGGCAUCGAAUCCAUUAAAGAUAAAUUGAUUGAUUUGAUGGUGAAUGGCAGAUCCGAACGUUCAGUGGUCGCUGUGGUGGGUGAAGGAGGAUUAGGCAAGACCACCCUUGCCGGAAAAAUUUUUAACAGUGAAGGUUUAAAAACUCACUUCAAUUGCCGGGCUUGGAUCACCGUUGGGAAAGAAUACAAAAAAAAUGAAAGAGUUUCAUCGUGUAGCAAACCAGCCUGCUCCAGUGGAGAUACACGACAUGGAAGAGAUGGACCUGAUCACCACGCUGAGGGACCACUUGAAGGACAAAAGUUACAUGGUUGUGUUCGACGAUGUUUGGAAGAUUGAUUUUUGGGGAGACGUGGAGCAUGCUUUACUUGAUAGCAAGAAAUGCGGCAGGAUAAUUGUCACAACACGGCACACGAAUGUCGCUAAGUAUUGCAAAUCAUCUUCCUCUGUUCACCUCCAUGAGCUUGAAACUUUGCCUCCAAACGAGGCGUGGAAACUUUUUUGUAGAAAGGCGUUCGGUCGUGUGCUGAACGGAGAGGACUUGAGUCAUUGCAGUAAAACUCGACGCAUUACUAUACAGAGAAGUAUUGAUGACGGUGCUUUAGAGAGAAUCAAGGACUCGAAGGUCCGUUCUGUUUUUCUUUUCAAUGUGGAUAGGCUGCCCGACUCUUUCAUGAAUGCAAGUAUUGCCAAUUUCAAGCUCAUGAAAGUACUAGAUCUGGAAGAUGCUCCUGUAGAUGACCUUCCUGAAGGAGUGGGGAACUUAUUCAAUUUACACUACUUGAGUGUGAAAAAUACAAAAGUAGAAACACUUCCCAAGUCCAUUGGAAAUCUUCUCAGUUUAGAGACUUUGAAUAGGAAAUAUACUUUGGUGAGAGAACUUCCAGUUGAGAUCAGGAAUCUUAAAAGGUUGCGUUAUCUAAUGGUGUAUCAGUACAAUUAUACCUCUAUAACAGCAGAAACAGCAGCCAGAGUACGCGGGGGCUUUGGGUCUCUAACAGCUCUGCAGAAGUUGUCUACUAUAGAAGCUGACUCGCAAGUGCUUAAGGAGCUUACGAAGCUAAGGCAGUUAAGAAAGUUGGGCAUUAGGCCCCAAAAUGGAAAUGGCAAGGAUCUGUGUGCUUUGAUUGCAAAUUUGGAAAACCUAGAGUCUUUAACAGUAGGAAUGACAAGCAAAGAAGAAAUACUUGACUUGCAAUAUUUGAGUAGUCCUCCUCAAUAUCUGCAGCGUCUCUACUUGAAGGGGAAUAUGAAGAAACUGCCGGAUUGGAUUUUUAAACUUAAAAAUCUAAUCAGAUUGGGUUUGGAACUGUCGGGAUUGACUGAGGAGCCAAUCGGAGUGCUUCAAGCCUUGCCUAAUUUAUUGGAACUUAGACUCGUGGGGACAUACAACUACGAGCUUUUUCAAUUUGAAGCAGGUUGGUUUCCAAAACUCCAAAAAUUGAAGCUCCUUGACUUCGUCGCGGUGAAAUCGGUUCUAAUAGAGAAAGGUGCGAUGCCUGAUAUUAGAGAACUGUGGAUUGGGCCUUGCCCGCUGUUGAUGGAGAUUCCUAUUGGAAUUGAACAUCUUAAAAACCUUAAGCUACUUCUAUUUGCUCAUAUGGUUAAACAAGUGUAUUACAUGACAAAAGACGAGAACUGGGAGAAGGUUACUGAGCAUAUACCAGAUGUCCUUGUCACUUUUGUGGAGGCCGGGCAAG